UACGUAGGGUGCAAGCGUUGUCCGGAUUUACUGGGUUUAAAGGGUGCGUAGGCGGGGCGGUAAGUCGGUGAUGAAAUGCGGGAGCUCAACUCCACGCCUGUUACCGAUACUGCCAUCCUUGAGAAUGGAUGAGGUGGCUGGAAUGAGUGGUGUAGCGGUGAAAUGCGUAGAGAUCACUCAGAACACCAAUUGCGAAGGCAGGUCACUAAACCAUAUCUGACGCUGAGGCACGAAAGCGUGGGGAGCAAACAGG
rnacentral:rRNA from 1 species